rnacentral:rRNA from 2 species
CAGUCGAGCGAACAGAUGAGAAGCUUGCUUCUCUGAUGUUAGCGGCGGACGGGUGAGUAACACGUGGGUAACCUACCUAUAAGACUGGGAUAACUCCGGGAAACCGGGGCUAAUACCGGAUAAUAUAUUGAACCGCAUGGUUCAAUGUUGAAAGACGGUUUCGGCUGUCACUUAUAGAUGGACCCGCGCCGUAUUAGCUAGUUGGUAAGGUAACGGCUUACCAAGGCAACGAUACGUAGCCGACCUGAGAGGGUGAUCGGCCACACUGGAACUGAGACACGGUCCAGACUCCUACGGGAGGCAGCAGUAGGGAAUCUUCCGCAAUGGGCGAAAGCCUGACGGAGCAACGCCGCGUGAGUGAUGAAGGUCUUAGGAUCGUAAAACUCUGUUGUUAGGGAAGAACAAAUUUGUUAGUAACUGAACAAGUCUUGACGGUACCUAACCAGAAAGCCACGGCUAACUACGUGCCAGCAGCCGCGGUAAUACGUAGGUGGCAAGCGUUAUCCGGAAUUAUUGGGCGUAAAGCGCGCGUAGGCGGUUUCUUAAGUCUGAUGUGAAAGCCCACGGCUCAACCGUGGAGGGUCAUUGGAAACUGGGGAACUUGAGUGCAGAAGAGGAGAGUGGAAUUCCAUGUGUAGCGGUGAAAUGCGCAGAGAUAUGGAGGAACACCAGUGGCGAACGCGGCUCUCUGGUCUGUAACUGACGCUGAUGUGCGAAAGCGUGGGGAUCAACAGGAUUAGAUACCCUGGUAGUCCACGCCGUAGACGAUGA